rnacentral:lncRNA from 1 species
GAAAGAGGGGAAGUUGCUACUGUGAUGAAUUCUGCCAUGUGGUACCAGACUGCUGCCCAGACCACAGUGUCCUCUGCAACCCUGCUUCUCAGAUGACCAAGAUGGUGCUGCCGAUGGUGUUGAGGACGGAGAACCCACCAAGCCCCGUUAGGAGCCACCUAGACUGGAUGCAGAGCACAGACAAUUUGCUGAGGUCUGGGAGCACCCCCUCCAGAGAGUCCCUGAUCUCUCACAACUUGGUCGUGAUCUAAAGUUUAUUUGAUGUACAACUCCCCCUCCCCUUCUUUUGGAGUUUUAUUUGCUUCCAAGAAGGAAGGCAAGAUUUCCUGGGUCCGUGAUGAUGGAAGGCUGACAACUCUUUUAUGGAUUUUGAGCUUGCUCCCAGUAGGGAAGACAAGUUCAAGUUUUUUUCCUGCUUCAAGGAUGGUGGAGAGCAGUCUUCAGCCUGAGACCCAUCCCUAGCUCCACCAGGAACUCCACGCCCAUGCGCCUCACUUCCAGGUCUCCUUACUGCACGUCAGGAGAGGCUAACAGACAUCAGCUGCAGCCAGGCAUGUCCCGUACGCCCAAAGAGAGUGCUGCCCCUGGCCUGGGCCCCCACCGACAGACUGCAGCUGCGUUACUGUGCUGAGAGGUACCCAGAAGGUUCCCAUGAAGGGCAGCAGGUC